rnacentral:rRNA from 1 species
UACGGGGGUGGCAAGCGUUGCUCGGAAUCACUGGGCGUAAAGGGCGCGUAGGCGGGGAGGUAAGUCGGGUGUGAAAUCCCUCGGCCCAACCGAGGAACUGCGCCCGAGACUGCUUCUCUUGAGUCCCGGAGAGGAAGAUGGAAUUCCCGGUGUAGCGGUGAAAUGUGUAGAGAUCGGGAGGAACACCGGUGGCGAAGGCGGUCUUCUGGACGGUGACUGACGCUGAGGCGCGAAAGCGUGGGGAGCAAACGGG